AGUGAACGCUGGCGGCGUGCCUAACACAUGCAAGUCGAACGAUGAAGUCCUUCGGGAUGGAUUAGUGGCGCACGGGUGAGUAUACCAUAGAUAAUGUACCUCUUAGUUUGGGAUAGCCACUGGAAACGGUGAUUAAUACCAGAUACUCCUUCUUGUCUUAAGGCAAGUCGGGACAGUUUUUUCGCUAAGAGAUCAGUCUAUGUCCUAUCAGCUAGUUGGUGAGGUAAUGGCUCACCAAGGCUAUGACGGGUAUCUGGUUUGAGAGGAUGAUCAGACACACUGGAACUGAGACACGGUCCAGACUCCUACGGGAGGCAGCAGUGAGGAAUAUUGCACAAUGGAGGAAACUCUGAUGCAGCAACGCCGCGUGGAGGAUGACGCAUUUCGGUGUGUAAACUCCUUUUAAGAGGGAAGAUUAUGACUGUACCUCUUGAAUAAGCACCGGCUAACUCCGUGCCAGCAGCCGCCGUAA
rnacentral:rRNA from 1 species